AACGAACGCUGGCGGCAUGCCUAACACAUGCAAGUCGAACGAGACCUUCGGGUCUAGUGGCGCACGGGUGCGUAACGCGUGGGAACCUGCCCUUAGGUUCGGAAUAACUCCCCGAAAGGGGUGCUAAUACCGGAUAAUGUCUUCGGACCAAAGAUUUAUCGCCUUUGGAUGGGCCCGCGUUGGAUUAGCUAGUUGGUAGGGUAAAAGCCUACCAAGGCGACGAUCCAUAGCUGGUCUGAGAGGAUGAUCAGCCACACUGGGACUGAGACACGGCCCAGACUCCUACGGGGGGCAGCAGGGGGGAAAAUUGGACAAUGGGCGAAAGCCUGAUCCAGCAAGGCCGGGGGAGUGAUGAAGGCCUUAGGGUUGUAAAGCUCUUUUACCCGGGAUGAAAAUGACAGUACCGGGAAAAUAAGCCCCGGCCAACUCCGG
rnacentral:rRNA from 1 species